rnacentral:lncRNA from 1 species
GGGGGGCGGGGAAAAGGGAGGAGGGCCAGAAGAUGGUUGUGUUGGAUGUGAAUGGGGCGGGUGGGCGCCAGGGGCAAUUAUGACCGCAGGCUGGUUUAGGGGUUGGGUAAGGUCAGGUGUCCUCUGGGGUUGGGAGGAGGAAGGUCGGCUGGUGGCCCAGCUGCGGGGUUCUGGUGGGUCCAGGCCGAUGGAGUGGCUCACCUGUGUAGGCCAGGACGCAGUUCUGGGUUGUGUCAAGGAAAAAUAG